AACCGGGGCUAAUACCGGAUGGUUGUUUGAACCGCAUGGUUCAAACAUAAAAGGUGGCUUCGGCUACCACUUACAGAUGGACCCGCGGCGCAUUAGCUAGUUGGUGAGGUAACGGCUCACCAAGGCAACGAUGCGUAGCCGACCUGAGAGGGUGAUCGGCCACACUGGGACUGAGACACGGCCCAGACUCCUACGGGAGGCAGCAGUAGGGAAUCUUCCGCAAUGGUCGAAAGUCGUGACGGAGUCAGCGCCGACGUGAGUGAUCGAAGCGUUUUCGGAUCGUAAAGCUCAUGUUGUUAGGGAAGAUCAAGUACCGUUCGAAUAGGUCGGUACCUUGACGGUACCUAACCAGAAAGCCAUGGCUAACUACGUGCCAGCAGCCGCGGUAAUACGUAGGUGGCAAGCGUUGUCCGGAAUUAUUGGGCGUAAAGGGCUCGCAGGCGGUUUCUUAGGUCUGAUGUGAAAGCCCCGGGCUCAACCGGGGAGGGUCAUUGGAAACUGGGGAACUUGAGUGCAGAAGAGGAGAGUGGCAAUUCCACGUGUAGCGGUGAAAUGCGUAGAGAUGUGGAGGAACACCAGUGGCGAAGGCGACUCUCUGGUCUGUAACUGACGCUGAGGAGCGAAAGCGUGGGGAGCGAACAGGAUUAGAUACCCUGGUAGUCCACGCCGUAAACGAUGAGUGCUAAGUGUUAAGGGGGUUUCCGCCCUUUAGUGCUGCAGCUAACGCAUUAAGCACUCCGCCUGGGGAGUACGGUCGCAGGACUGAAACUCAAAGGAAUUGACGGGGGCCCGCCACAAGCGGUGGAGCAUGUGGUUUAAUUCGUAGCAGCGCGAAGAACCUUACCAGGUCGUUGACAUCCUCUGACCAUUCUUAGAGAUAGGACGUUCCCUUCGGGGGCAGAGUGACAGGUGGUGCAUGGUUGUCGUCAGCUCGUGUCGUGGAGAUGUUGGGUUAAGUCCCGCAACGAGCGCAACCCUUGAUCUUAGUUGCCAGCAUUCAGUUGGGCACUCUAAGGUGACUGCCGGUGACAGAGAUGUGGAGGAAGGUGGGGAUGACGUCAAAUCAUCAUGCCCCUUAUGACCUGGGCUACACACGUGCUACAAUGGACAGAACAAAGGGCAGCGAAACCGCGAGGUUAAGCCAAUCCCACAAAUCUGUUCUCAGUUCGGAUCGCAGUCUGCAACUCGACUGCGUGAAGCUGGAAUCGCUAGUAAUCGCGGAUCAGCAUGCCGCGGUGAAUACGUUC
rnacentral:rRNA from 1 species